AGGGCAACAGGUGAAUGCCUUGGCGCUGAGAGGCGAUGAAAGACGCGGUAAGCUGCGAUAAGCAUCGGGGAGGAGCUAAACAUCCUACGAUCCGAUGAUUUCUGAAUGGGGAAACCCGAUGGGAGUCAUGUCCCAUCAUCCUGAGCUGAAUAUAUAGGCCCAGAGAAGCCAACCCGGGGAAGUGAAACAUCUCAGUACCUGCAGGAAAGGAUAUUCCGUGAGUAGUGGCGAGCGAAAGCGGAUGAUGGCCAAACCUUGCGCGUGUGAUACCCGUCGGGGGUUGCGCGCGGGGUGUUGCGGGAUCGCGUGCGCCGGCUCCGACGGGCCGGCCGGCAGUUGCAGAAAACCAUGUGUCAGGGGAACCGGGUUGAAUACCGGGCCGCAGAGGGUGAGGGCCCCGUACCUGAACGCGCAUGGUCUGCCGAUCGCGUCUCCCAAGUAGCACGGGUCCCGUGGAACCCCGUGCGAAUCCGCCCAGACCGUUGGGUAAGCCUGAAUAUUCCUGUCUGACCGAUAGCGAACGAGUACCGUGAGGGAAAGGUGAAAAGUACCCCGGGAGGGGAGUGAAACAGUCUCUGAAACCGUGCGCCUACAAUCCGUCGGAGCCUCCUUGUGGGGUGACGGCGUGCCUAUCGAAAAAUGAGUCUGCGAGUCAGUGGCAUGUGGCGAGCAUAACCCGUGUGGGGUAUGCGUAGCGAAGGCGAGUCUUAAAAGGCGUUUGAGUCGCGUGUCCUGGACCCGAAGCGGGAUGAUCUAGCCCUGAGCAGGUUGAAGCGCGGGUAAGACCGCGUGGAGGACCGAACCCACCUGGGUUGAAAACCGGGGGGAUGACUUGGGGCUAGGGGUGAAAGGCCAAUCAAAUUCCGUGAUAGCUGGUUCUCUCCGAAAUGCAUUUGGGUGCAGCGUCGGGUCAUUACGUCCCGGGGGUAGAGCUACUGGAUGCUUGCGGGCCCGUAUCGGGUACCAACAGCAACCAAACUCCGAAUACCGGUGACGCGUAUCCCGGCAGUGAGUCGGCGGGGGAUAAGCUUCGUCGUCGAAAGGGAAACAGCCCAGACCGUCGUCUAAGGUCCCGAAGCGUGUGCUAAGUGGGAAAGGAUGUGGAGUCGCAUAGACAGCCAGGAGGUUGGCUCAGAAGCAGCCACCCUUGAAAGAGUGCGUAACAGCUCACUGGUCUAGUGGUUCCGCGCCGACAAUGUAGCGGGGCUCAAGCACACCACCGAAGACGCGGCAGUAUUUUGUACUGGGUAGGAGAGCGUCCCAUGAGGGGCGAAGCGGCCGUGUGAACGCGCCGUGGACUUCAUGGGAGUGAGAAUGCAGACAUGAGUAGCGAGAGACGGGUGAAGAUCCCGUCCGCUGGAUGACCAAGGGUUCCAGGGCCACGUUCAUCGUCCCUGGGUGAGUCGGGUCCUAAGGCGAGGCCGACAGGCGUAGUCGAAUGGAUGAACGGGUCGAUAUUCCCGUACCGGCUUUCAGCCGCCAAAACCGAGGCUUGGAGUACUAACCUCCGGGUCCGGGCUUACUGCUCCUUCGGGGGCGGGAUGCCCUGGCCUGUUGGGACCGAUCCUUGUAGUAGGUCAGCGCAGGAGUGACGCAGAAGGGUAGCCGGCCGCGGAGGUGGUCUUCCGUGGUCAAGCACGCAGGGCGUGGGACAGGCAAAUCCGUCCCGCAUGGGUCCGAGGUGCGAUGAUGGGGGCCUUAUGGCCCGAUAUCCGGUGAUCCCGGCUGCCGAGAAAAGCUUCGGCGUCAGGCUCGAAGCCGCCCGUACCCCAAACCGACACUGGUGGUCAGGUAGAGAAUACCAAAGCGAUCGAGCGAAUCCUGGUCAAGGAACUCGGCAAAUCACUCCCGUUCCUUCGGUUUAAGGGAGACCCCCGAUGGUGAACACACUUGCUGUGGGAGCUUUUGGGGGUGGCACAGACCAGGGGGUAGCGACUGUUUACCAAAAACACAGGUGCAUGCGAAGGCGCAAGCCGCUGUAUAUGCACUGACGCCUGCCCGGUGCCGGAAGGUUAAGAGGAGAGCUCAGAGCAAUCGAAGGUUUGAAUUGAAGCCCCGGUAAACGGCGGCCGUAACUAUAACGGUCCUAAGGUAGCGAAAUUCCUUGUCGGGUAAGUUCCGACCUGCACGAAUGGCGUAACGACUUCCCCACUGUCUCGACCAGGAGCUCGGCGAAAUUGCAGUACGAGUAAAGAUGCUCGUUAAGCGCAGAAGGACGAAAAGACCCCGGGACCUUUACUAUACCUUGGUAUUGGCAUUCGGUGUGGAUUGUGUAGCAUAGGCGGGAGGCCGAGAGGCGCGGUCGCCAGAUCGCGCGGAGCCGUAAGGUGAAAUACCGCUCUGUUCGCAUUGGAUGUCUAACCUCGAACAGUCAUCCUGUUCAGGGACAGUGCCUGGCGGGUAGUUUAACUGGGGCGGUUGCCUCCCAAAGAGUAACGGAGGCGCCCAAAGGUCCGCUCAGCCCGGUUGGCAAUCGGGUGGCGAGUGCAAGUGCACAAGCGGGCUUGACUGCGAGGACGACGGUCCGAGCAGGGACGAAAGUCGGGACUAGUGAUCCGGUGCCGGUGUACGGACGCGGCAUCGCUCAACGGAUAAAAGGUACUCCGGGGAUAACAGGCUGAUCAUUCCCAAGAGUCCAUAU
rnacentral:rRNA from 1 species